AACUGAUUGGCUUAGUCUGGUAAAGCAUGUGACUCUUGAUCUCAGGGUCAUGAGUUCAAGCCCCACAUUGGGUG
rnacentral:tRNA from 1 species